rnacentral:rRNA from 1 species
AGAGCGAACGCUGGCGGCAUGCUUAACACAUGCAAGUCGCACGGGCACUUCGGUGUCAGUGGCGGACGGGUGAGUAACGCGUAGGUAUCUAUCUUUGGGUGGGGGACAACUGUGGGAAACUACAGCUAAUACCGCAUGAUAACUGAGGUUUAAAGGCGCAAGUCGCCUGAGGAGGAGCCUGCGUACGAUUAGCUAGUUGGUGGGGUAAAGGCCUACCAAGGCGACGAUCGUUAGCUGGUCUGAGAGGAUGAUCAGCCACAUUGGGACUGAGACACGGCCCAAACUCCUACGGGAGGCAGCAGUGGGGAAUAUUGGACAAUGGGCGCAAGCCUGAUCCAGCAAUGCCGCGUGUGUGAAGAAGGUCUUCGGAUUGUAAAGCACUUUCGACGGGGACGAUGAUGACGGUACCCGUAGAAGAAGCCCCGGCUAACUUCGUGCCAGCAGCCGC